rnacentral:pre_miRNA from 1 species
UUAACCCAUUUAACAACUCAAACCAUUAAAUUAAAUGAGUUAUGGGUUGACCCAACCCAUUUAACAAAAUGAGUUUGGUCAACCCAUAACUCAUUUAACCAUAAACUCGUUGAGUUGAGU